CAAGAGAAGUGCUGAGAAGUGGUCAAUGCCGAUCAUUGACCGUCGCGGCAUUAACUCGAGGGAAAUAUUAAGACACAAAAAAAAUGUUUGGCAAAAUGGCCAAUAAAAAAAAAAUUCGGCACCAAUUCGGAAGCGUUUGCCAACUGGUCACCUAAUCGUGAGUAGGAGAAAAGAAGGGACGUGCUGAAAAAGGUAUAGUUGGACGCGCGGGUAAGGUGCGGAAAAGGGCUUCUAAUUCUAGAUUAGAUUUCACAUAAAAAACGCUUGGUCAUGGUCGACUUACGGCGAAAACCAGCACGAGUCGGCUCGGACGAAGGACAGCCGUUGGCCAGUGAGUGCCUGAAACAGUGCUUCGUGGCCCCAGGGAUGACAAAGUGGUCAGCGCGGGUAUGCGUUCCCGGACCGGACUUACCGAGGGAAUCACCAUAUGUGGCCUUCGUAGUCGUCCCUGGCUGCUGCUACGUAUAAUUGCUGCUGAUAUACCUGCUUGUAGCGCUGAUUCCGCUGUUGAAGUCUGCAGCUGUUCGCGCAAAAAUCUGCAGAUCCUGCUGCAACUGCCGCUGACUGGGUUGCUGCUGAUACUGCUGCGGUUCGCUGCCCUCUGGCAGGUGUAGGUGACUUUAUCCUCUACUGGCGACGUGGUCUUUCCGACCAGGCUAGGUCCGCCGGGUAAGUAUCUUCUGGGCACGAGUCUCCUAAAUUUACGGGGCUCUUUAGAUAGGGUCCCCGGUGUCCGUUA